AGGACGAACGCUGGCGGCGUGCUUAACACAUGCAAGUCGAACGAUGAUCCGGUUUCGGCCGGGGAUUAGUGGCGAACGGGUGAGUAACACGUGGGCAACCUGCCCUCCACUCUGGGAUAACUCCGGGAAACCGGGGCUAAUACUGGAUAUGAUCUUCGGGCGCAUGCCUGGGGGUGGAAAGUUUUUCGGUGGAGGAUGGGCCCGCGACCUAUCAGCUUGUUGGUGGGGUGAUGGCCUACCAAGGCGGUGACGGGUA
rnacentral:rRNA from 1 species